GAAUUUGGAUUUUUGAGAAUUAGGGAUUCUGAAAUUUGUGUUUUGGAUUGAUUUGAAAUGAUUAUUGAAAAAUGGUAACCGUUUACUUGAACCGGUUUUUAAUAAUGGUUACCGUUUUUUUUUUAAUUUGAUAAAUGGAUAACCAAUUUCAAAAUAUAAUUUUGGGUUUGGUUUUAAAGUUUGGAUUAAUUUGGAUAGGAAUUUGGUUCAUGGUUAUUGGUUAUUUUGCACACCCC
rnacentral:lncRNA from 1 species